rnacentral:lncRNA from 1 species
UCAUUUCAAGGGUGAAAUAAAACCCAAAUUUCAUUCACUCUUUUUGAUCUGCCGUUCUCUUUUGUUUUCCAAGGAAAAAACAAAACACCCUCUCCCCCUUUUGUCUUUCCAACGAUCGGGCUCCCUCACCGUCCACCGUACCACCACCGUUUUCGGUGGCCGGUGACGCGCAAUAAUAGGUAUUUCAACCCCGUUUUUGGGACCCUUUGAAGGCCGAGUUUUCAGCCAAACAAUGCGGAAAUGAAAGGGUCUCUCCCUCUCUAAAUGACGCGACCCUGACGACGGAGGAGGGAUCUCCGGUGAUGAAGCCCCGACCGAUUCCGGUGAGGCCCUCUACUCCCUCCUUUUAUUUAUUUUCGUGCCCACUUUAUUUAAUAGAUUUGCAAGUAAAGAUAAAAAGAAACUAAAAUAGAUUAGCAAUGAAAUGAAAACAAAGAGAAUAGAUCGGAAAUCACCCUUUUUUAUCUGUUUUGCUCUUGAUUUUUAUUGCUAAAUGUUCGUGUCCAAAAAAAACUACAAAUGGAUGUUUCGACUCUUAUAACUGAAUUACAUAGAUUCAUUUUUUGUUUUUUUUCUUCUUGUCUACUAUUUUUUCUUCUUCGUUUCUUGUGUUUCGCGUGCUAGUUUCGUCUUGCAGGUGUCAGACGUGUGGAAGGCCGAUGGUUGGUGCCCCAAGCGGUGGUGGUGGCGCGCGUGAUGGCCAAGGGCAGAGGGGGGAGUGGCGGCUGAACUUUGGUGGCUAGGGUUAGGGUGGCUGCUGAACAAAAGUUUAAGAUAGUGGGCUGACUUGGGCUUUAGGGUUUUAGGUUAUUGGGUUUAUUUUGGGCUAAAAUCUGGGUAUUGGGUUUUAAUUAGGUUUUGUUUUAAUUUUGAGCCAUGUAUUGGACUAUUUUUUUGUUUAUUUGGUUUGGGUUCUUUUAGGCCAAAAUUGGCUAUUACAUCUAGCAUUGGAGCUAAGCCAAAUUUCUCCAAUGUCUUAAGAACAUUAAGUAGUAAUCAAAAAAAUAAGAACCUCGUGUUGAGAUAUUUAUCAAUAUUUAAAGAGUAGUGCCGGCCAAUUUACUUCUAAGUCAUUAAAAAGAAACUUCAGUCCUCCAAUCACAAUUAAACACUUCUCUACAUUUUCAUCCAUAUCAGUGAGGGGCUCUGCAUUGAUAAUGGUAAAAUUUAUUUUGGCACUCUUAAAAAUAAUAAAAAUUUAAUUUAAUCCUUUAAAAAUUAUAAAGAUAUAGGCUAUUAAAAUAGUGAAUUGUAUUUUUAAUAUCGUAAAAACAUAUAAUUUAAUUCCGGCCUCCCAAAAAGAAAUUUUGACUCCGUCCCCC